UACGGAGGGUGCAAGCGUUAAUCGGAAUUACUGGGCGUAAAGCGCACGCAGGUGGCUGAGUCAGUCGAUUGUGAAAGCCCUGGGCUUAACCUGGGAAUUGCAGUCGAUACUACUCAGCUAGAGUAUGGGAGAGGGUAGUGGAAUUCCCGGUGUAGUGGUGAAAUGCGUAGAUAUCGGGAGGAACACCAGUGGCGAAGGCGACUACCUGGCCUGUUCUUGACGCUGAGGCGCGAAAGCUAGGGGAGCAAACGGGG
rnacentral:rRNA from 1 species